rnacentral:rRNA from 1 species
UUUGGUCGUGUGCUGGCUGCCGCAGGCCUCCGGGUACCUACCACCCUUUGUUUAUUACACUUUGUUGCUUUGGCAGGCCUGCCCUCGGGCUGCUGGCUCCGGCCGGCGAGCGCUUGCCAGAGGACCUAAACUCUGUUUGUCUAUACUGUCUGAGUACUAUAUAAUAGUUAAAACUUUCAACAACGGAUCUCUUGGUUCUGGCAUCGAUGAAGAACGCAGCGAAAUGCGAUAAGUAAUGUGAAUUGCAGAAUUCAGUGAAUCAUCGAAUCUUUGAACGCACAUUGCGCCCCCUGGUAUUCCGGGGGGCAUGCCUGUCCGAGCGUCAUUACAACCCUCAAGCUCAGCUUGGUAUUGGGCCCCGCCGACCCGGCGGGCCCUAAAGUCAGUGGCGGUGCCGUCCGGCUCCGAGCGUAGUAAUUCUUCUCGCUCUGGAGGUCCGGUCGUGUGCUCGCCAGCAACCCCCAAUUUUUUUCAGGUUGACCUCGGAUCAGGUAGGGAUACCCGCUGAACUUAAGCAUAUCAAUAGGCGGAGGAAUC